GAUGAAGAACGUAGCGAAAUGCGAUAAGUAGUGUGAAUUGCAGAAUUCAGUGAAUCAUCGAAUCUUCGAACGCACAUUGCGCCCGCCAGUAUUCUGGCGGGCAUGCCUGUUCGAGCGUCAUUUCAACCAUCAAGCCCCCGGCUUGUGUUGGGGACCUGCGGCUGCCGCAGGCCCUGAAAAGCAGUGGCGGGCUCGCUGUCACACCGAGCGUAGUAGCAUACAUCUCGCUCUGGGCGUGCUGCGGGUUCCGGCCGUUAAACCACCUUCAUAACCCAAGGUUGACCUCGGAUCAGGUAGGAAGACCCGCUGAACUUAAGCAUAUCAAUAAGCGGAGGA
rnacentral:misc_RNA from 1 species